UGAGGAAUAUUGGUCAAUGGGCGGAAGCCUGAACCAGCCAUGCCGCGUGAAGGACUAAGGCCCUAUGGGUCGUAAACUUCUUUAGACGCAGAGCAAUAAGGGUCUCGCGAGAUCCGAUGAGAGUAUGCGUAGAAUAAGCAUCGGCUAACUCCGUGCCAGCAGCCGCGGUAAUACGGGGGAUGCGAGCGUUAUCCGGAUUUAUUGGGUUUAAAGGGAGCGUAGGCGGACUAUCAAGUCAGUUGUGAAAGUCAUCGGCUCAACCGCUGAAUUGCAGUUGAAACUGGUAGUCUUGAGUGCACAUGAGGAUGGUGGAAUUCGUAGUGUAGCGGUGAAAUGCUUAGAUAUUACGAAGAACUCCGAUUGCGAAGGCAGCUAUCUGGGGUGCAACUGACGCUGA
rnacentral:rRNA from 1 species